UCGAACGAGGUAGCAAUACCUAAAGGCGGACGGGUGAGUAACACGUGGGAAUCUGCCCUUAGAUGGGGGAUAGCAGACCGAAAGGUCUAUUAAUACCCCAUAUGUGUAUAUCCCGACAGGGGUAUACAUGAAAGGAGUAAUUCGUCUGAGGAUGAGCCCGCGUCCGAUUAGCUAGUUGGUAGGGUAAAGGCCUACCAAGGCUUCGAUCGGUAGGUGGUCUGAGAGGAUGAUCACCCACAAUGGGACUGAGACACGGCCCAUACUCCUACGGGAGGCAGCAGUGGGGAAUCUUGGACAAUGGGGGNCACCCUGAUCCAGCGAUGCCGCGUGAGUGAAGAAGGCCUUCGGGUCGUANAGCUCUCUAGGUUGGGACGAAGGGGUGGUGGAGGAUAAUGCCAUUACCUUGACGGUACUGACAGAAUAAGCACCGGCAAACUCUGUG
rnacentral:rRNA from 1 species